UACGUAGGCAGCAAGCGUUGUUCGGAAUUACUGGGCGUAAAGAGUGUGUAGGUGGUGCUCCAAGUCUGUUGUGAAAUCUCCCGGCUUAACUGGGAGGGUGCGGCGGAAACUGGAAUGCUUGAGGAUGGGAGAGGAAAGCGGAAUUCCUGGUGUAGCGGUGAAAUGUGUAGAUAUUCGGAAGAACACCAGUGGCGAAGGCAGCGAACUGGCGCUCGAUUGACGCUCAGGCACGAAAGCAUGGGGAGCAAACAGG
rnacentral:rRNA from 1 species